CUUGCACUUCACUUUUUUUGUUUCAAAUCAAAACAGCGAUCGCGACUUGGACUCGACGUAAAUUUUCACUGUUAGCAACAAGAUAAACCUUGGUAAGAGUAUCUAUCUAGUUGUUGUGGGAAUAUACAUUUGAUCUUGCUAUAUGUUCAAUAACUAGAUCGUGAAAAUAAGUCAAGAAAAAUGGACGAAUUACGGUCGUUUUUCAACGACCCUCGUCCAUCGCAGUCCAACGUGGUAAAACUUAAAGGACCUUUAACUGCCGGUUUUCGUAUCACGAAAGAAGACACCCUAAAUGAGCUGAACCGACGAGAAGAUCAUCGGCACUCAGUUAUUUUGAGCGGCACUGAUUAUGCCCGUGAAGUUAAAGAACGGGAGAUCGCAGCUUAUCUGAAGAAUGAAACUGAACAUGAUCGCUGGGACAGCGUGUCUGAUCGUCUGGAGUCUUUGGAGCACCUGUCCUCACUGGGAACAUCUCUGCCAAACAUUGGAGAGCUGACGGAGGAAGCCAUGACUGAAGUGUACAGCAAGUACUCUUUUCAAAUGAAAGAAGACACUAACAAUUUAUCCAUCAAUGGCUCUAAAACUGAUAUCUUAGAUCGCAUCAGAGGGUUCCCAGUUGUCAUAAUAGAAGGGCCCACAGGCUGCGGCAAGACUACACAAGUGCCGCAGUGGAUCCUGGACGACUGCCACAAGCACCGCAGGGCGUGCAAGAUCAUAGUCACGCAGCCGAGGAGGAUCGCUGCCAUGUCUAUAGCUAAACGAGUAGCGCAGGAGCGGGGGUGGGACGUUGGGGGGCUUGUUGGUUACCAGGUCGGAUUAGAGAAUAAGACUUCUAAUGACACCAGGAUUAGUUACGUCACAACAGGAGUGUUACUGCAGAAAUUGGUAAACGCCAAAACGAUGAACGAAUACACCCACAUAAUCCUCGACGAAGUCCACGAGCGUGGCCAGGACAUGGAUUUCCUCCUACUGGUCGUCAAGAAACUGCUAUACACCGUGUCACCAACAGUCAAAGUGAUACUCAUGUCAGCCACGUUCCAAACGCAGAAGUUUGCCGACUACUUCAUGAUUCCCACGCCCAGAGGGCAGCACAUGGCUUCUUGUGUACAAGUGAAUAAGAAGGAACCGAUGUUCAGUGUGAAAACAUUUUACUUGGACCAGCUGAGUAAAUUUGGCUCGCUAGUAGAAGCCUGCACGCCCAAAGCUCAUGAACCAGUCAUAGUCAGCGAGAUGUACAAUCUUGUAGUGAAACUGGUAAACGCAUUCGAGCAAAUUGACAUGACAGAGGACAAGAUAACCAACCGGUCGGAGGCUGACCUGCCUUCUGUGUUGAUAUUCUUACCGGGUAUACAUGAGAUUGAAGAGCAGUAUGACGCUUUGACCGACUUGCAAGCAAGAAAGAAAAUUUCACCUGAAUGUGCCCGCUACAACUGGUGGGUGCUGCCCCUCCACUCCACCAUCACAGCGGACGAGCAAGUCCGGGUGUUCCAGCGCGCGCCGCCCGGACACCGCAAGGUCAUCCUCGCCACCAACAUCGCUGAGAGCUCCAUCACCGUCCCCGACAUCAAAUAUGUGAUCGACUUCUGUCUCAUGAAGAUCUUAGUAGCGGACUCAGCUACCAACUUCUCAACUCUGAGCCUGAUCUGGGCUUCGAAGAGCAACUGCGAGCAACGAGCCGGUCGCGCGGGCCGUGUCCGCGACGGCCGUGUGUACCGUCUCGUGCCUGCGAAGUUCUAUGACAAGUUCCAACAAGACAGCCCACCCGAGAUCGUCCGCUGCCCUCUGGAGCGUCUCGUGCUGCUAGCCAAGAUGCUCGACAUGGGCCCGCCCAGUGACGUGCUGGCUCUAGCCAUGGACCCGCCCGAGAUGUCCAACAUACAGCGCACCAUGCUUGUCCUUAAAGAGGUCGGAGCUCUAAAGAAGACCGUGGAUGGCGAGUGGUCAUCAUCGGAUGGCGACCUAACCUACAUGGGCCGGAUUAUGGCGCGUCUGCCGCUCGAUGUUAAAGUCUCCAAGAUCAUCAUACUGGGACACAUCUUUGGUUGCUUGAAUGACAGUAUCGUUAUGGCCGCCGCGCUGUCGGUGAAGAAUGUAUGCAGCAGCCCGUUCCGCGAGCGCCUGAACGCCUACAACGCCAAACUGACGUGGGCCGACGGCUCCACUAGCGACUGCGUUGCUUACCUACACAUAUACAAAGUGUGGGACAGAUUCCGCCAACAGCAGUUCUUCAAGCAGAAAGGCAACAGCGAAGUGGCCUGGGCGCGCCGCUUCUAUGUGCAACUGCGGGCCUUACGUGAACUCAACGACAUGGUGCGCGAACUCAAGCACCGGCUCAGUCGUGAGGGCAUCGAACCGCCUAAGACCACGCCUUGGGCGAGGAACCAUCUCGCCUUCGUGCACAAGAUGAUACUAGCGGGUGCAUUCUACCCGCAGUAUUUCGUGCAAGGCUCGCAGAACGAAACUCGCGAGCGAGACGCACUGCGCGAGCUCGGCGGACUUGAUCCACGCACCACAGUGUAUUUGAAGAACUUCCCCGACCACCAGCCCGGUAGUAUCUACGCCGUGGCCAUCCGGAACAAAGUCCACGAGCUGAUCAAAGAAGAGCCGCGAGUCACCUUUGACAAUAACAGCAGGAAAGUGUUCCUGACCUUUUCAAAGGAAGAAUCGAAUAGCCGCACCAAAAAGACAGAUGGAGACCCAACGAUCCCAGGCCAAAUAUUGUUGGCGGUGUACAAGGCUGUGAAAGCGAGAAAUCUGAAGAUGGACAUCAGAAUACCUCUGUUACCACCGGAGGAAGCGAAAGCCCGCGCCGAAGAGAUGUCUCAGAGCCGAUCCGACGUACCCGUAGAGCUACAAGUACCGAGGCUGCCCAGCGUCGACCAGACAUAUUUCCCCCUCAAAGUCGUCCAGUUCACGAGCCCGGGCAAAUUCUGGGUGCAAUACGACGAAGAAACAGCACUAAGCGAGUACAACCAGAUAUACGCCACACUCAACCAGGGCAAGCUGCUGAGUUACACCAACCGCGUGUCUCCAGGGGACCUUGUGGCCGCUCCGUACGACGACCAAGUCGUGUACAGAGCGCGGGUGCAGAAGGUGCUCAAGGAUAUGGUCGAGAUCGCCUACAUCGACUUCGGCACCCUCGCGCGCAUCGCCGCGUCGAGCCUGCGCGAGCUGCCGCGCGGCAGUUGCCUGACCACCCCGCCGCUCGCCAUGCAGUGCCGGCUCGCGGAGCUGGCCCCGGCUCCGCUACUCGACUCGCACGCGGCCUGGUCGGACCGCGCGCUGAACAUGUGCGAACGGUUUAUGCAGCAGCCGCGCCUCAUAGGCAAGAUAUACUCAGUGGCGCACGGAGUGGUGUCGAUCGAGCUGCUGUCCAAGGGUGGCAACGAGAGCCUCAACAAGGAGCUCGUGAAGGCCAGGUUCGCCAUCCCCUGCGAAGAGAGCUACGAGUCCAAGUUGAACCACGACUUGCGUCAAUCAGCGACCGCUCUCAACUGCGAGCUCAGCAUGACGCAGAUCGCCGCCUACAACCGCGAGCAAAUGCAGCUCGCCUUCCACGAGUUGCGCGAGGUGGACUCGCCCGACGCGCGCCACUGCUACACCGACUGCUGCCUCAAGGGGCCCUUCAGUCCCUUGGAGGGAAAGGUCCAUAACCUGAUGUACGGCAGCCGCGAGACGCAAGUACAGAUCGAGUCGAGCUCCAUCAACUCCGUGCUUCUCGACACGGAGCCCCAGCGACUCUACGAAAGGUUGCUGAUAGCCGGUGACGUGGGCCAGAGCGAGCACAGCAACAAGCUGACCCUUCGCCACACGACCCUCAUGCCCAACGUGCCGGGCCUGCCCGCCAUCAUCGCUCUCCUUUUCUGUCCCACGGCGGAGCUCCGCCGCGGGCAGUGCGGCGCGCGCUACUCGGCGGCGCUGUGCGGGCUGGGCGCCGCCGCCAACGGCGCGCCGCUGUUCCCCGAGCACGACCUGCUCGUCAACGUGGACGCCGACCUGGACACCGAGGACGUCAGCAACGUACGUACUCCUGCACCCACACUCAGCACGUUGCCUGCUCACAGCGGAGCUACUCCGCGGCGCUGUGCGGGCUGGGCGCCGCCGCCAACGGCGCGCCGCUGUUCCCCGAGCACGACCUGCUCGUCAACGUGGACGCCGACCUGGACACCGAGGACGUCAGCAACGUACGUACUCCUGCACCCACACUCAGCACGUUGCCUGCUCACAGCGGAGCUACUCCGCGGCGCUGUGCGGGCUGGGCGCCGCCGCCAACGGCGCGCCGCUGUUCCCCGAGCACGACCUGCUCGUCAACGUGGACGCCGACCUGGACACCGAGGACGUCAGCAACGUACGUACUCCUGCACCCACACUCAGCACGUUGCCUGCUCACAGCGGAGCUACUCCGCGGCGCUGUGCGGGCUGGGCGCCGCCGCCAACGGCGCGCCGCUGUUCCCCGAGCACGACCUGCUCGUCAACGUGGACGCCGACCUGGACACCGAGGACGUCAGCAACGUACGUACUCCUGCACCCACACUCAGCACGUUGCCUGCUCACAGCGGAGCUACUCCGCGGCGCUGUGCGGGCUGGGCGCCGCCGCCAACGGCGCGCCGCUGUUCCCCGAGCACGACCUGCUCGUCAACGUGGACGCCGACCUGGACACCGAGGACGUCAGCAACGUACGUACUCCUGCACCCACACUCAGCACGUUGCCUGCUCACAGCGGAGCUACUCCGCGGCGCUGUGCGGGCUGGGCGCCGCCGCCAACGGCGCGCCGCUGUUCCCCGAGCACGACCUGCUCGUCAACGUGGACGCCGACCUGGACACCGAGGACGUCAGCAACGUACGUACUCCUGCACCCACACUCAGCACGUUGCCUGCUCACAGCGGAGCUACUCCGCGGCGCUGUGCGGGCUGGGCGCCGCCGCCAACGGCGCGCCGCUGUUCCCCGAGCACGACCUGCUCGUCAACGUGGACGCCGACCUGGACACCGAGGACGUCAGCAACGUACGUACUCCUGCACCCACACUCAGCACGUUGCCUGCUCACAGCGGAGCUACUCCGCGGCGCUGUGCGGGCUGGGCGCCGCCGCCAACGGCGCGCCGCUGUUCCCCGAGCACGACCUGCUCGUCAACGUGGACGCCGACCUGGACACCGAGGACGUCAGCAACGUACGUACUCCUGCACCCACACUCAGCACGUUGCCUGCUCACAGCGGAGCUACUCCGCGGCGCUGUGCGGGCUGGGCGCCGCCGCCAACGGCGCGCCGCUGUUCCCCGAGCACGACCUGCUCGUCAACGUGGACGCCGACCUGGACACCGAGGACGUCAGCAACGUACGUACUCCUGCACCCACACUCAGCACGUUGCCUGCUCACAGCGGAGCUACUCCGCGGCGCUGUGCGGGCUGGGCGCCGCCGCCAACGGCGCGCCGCUGUUCCCCGAGCACGACCUGCUCGUCAACGUGGACGCCGACCUCGACACCGAGGACGUCAGCAACGUACGUACUCCUGCACCCACACUCAGCACGUUGCCUGCUCACAGCGGAGCUACUCCGCGGCGCUGUGCGGGCUGGGCGCCGCCGCCAACGGCGCGCCGCUGUUCCCCGAGCACGACCUGCUCGUCAACGUGGACGCCGACCUGGACACCGAGGACGUCAGCAACGUACGUACUCCUGCACCCACACUCAGCACGUUGCCUGCUCACAGCGGAGCUACUCCGCGGCGCUGUGCGGGCUGGGCGCCGCCGCCAACGGCGCGCCGCUGUUCCCCGAGCACGACCUGCUCGUCAACGUGGACGCCGACCUGGACACCGAGGACGUCAGCAACGUACGUACUCCUGCACCCACACUCAGCACGUUGCCUGCUCACAGCGGAGCUACUCCGCGGCGCUGUGCGGGCUGGGCGCCGCCGCCAACGGCGCGCCGCUGUUCCCCGAGCACGACCUGCUCGUCAACGUGGACGCCGACCUGGACACCGAGGACGUCAGCAACGUACGUACUCCUGCACCCACACUCAGCACGUUGCCUGCUCACAGCGGAGCUACUCCGCGGCGCUGUGCGGGCUGGGCGCCGCCGCCAACGGCGCGCCGCUGUUCCCCGAGCACGACCUGCUCGUCAACGUGGACGCCGACCUGGACACCGAGGACGUCAGCAACGUACGUACUCCUGCACCCACACUCAGCACGUUGCCUGCUCACAGCGGAGCUACUCCGCGGCGCUGUGCGGGCUGGGCGCCGCCGCCAACGGCGCGCCGCUGUUCCCCGAGCACGACCUGCUCGUCAACGUGGACGCCGACCUGGACACCGAGGACGUCAGCAACGUACGUACUCCUGCACCCACACUCAGCACGUUGCCUGCUCACAGCGGAGCUACUCCGCGGCGCUGUGCGGGCUGGGCGCCGCCGCCAACGGCGCGCCGCUGUUCCCCGAGCACGACCUGCUCGUCAACGUGGACGCCGACCUGGACACCGAGGACGUCAGCAACGUACGUACUCCUGCACCCACACUCAGCACGUUGCCUGCUCACAGCGGAGCUACUCCGCGGCGCUGUGCGGGCUGGGCGCCGCCGCCAACGGCGCGCCGCUGUUCCCCGAGCACGACCUGCUCGUCAACGUGGACGCCGACCUGGACACCGAGGACGUCAGCAACGUACGUACUCCUGCACCCACACUCAGCACGUUGCCUGCUCACAGCGGAGCUACUCCGCGGCGCUGUGCGGGCUGGGCGCCGCCGCCAACGGCGCGCCGCUGUUCCCCGAGCACGACCUGCUCGUCAACGUGGACGCCGACCUGGACACCGAGGACGUCAGCAACGUACGUACUCCUGCACCCACACUCAGCACGUUGCCUGCUCACAGCGGAGCUACUCCGCGGCGCUGUGCGGGCUGGGCGCCGCCGCCAACGGCGCGCCGCUGUUCCCCGAGCACGACCUGCUCGUCAACGUGGACGCCGACCUGGACACCGAGGACGUCAGCAACGUACGUACUCCUGCACCCACACUCAGCACGUUGCCUGCUCACAGCGGAGCUACUCCGCGGCGCUGUGCGGGCUGGGCGCCGCCGCCAACGGCGCGCCGCUGUUCCCCGAGCACGACCUGCUCGUCAACGUGGACGCCGACCUGGACACCGAGGACGUCAGCAACGUACGUACUCCUGCACCCACACUCAGCACGUUGCCUGCUCACAGCGGAGCUACUCCGCGGCGCUGUGCGGGCUGGGCGCCGCCGCCAACGGCGCGCCGCUGUUCCCCGAGCACGACCUGCUCGUCAACGUGGACGCCGACCUGGACACCGAGGACGUCAGCAACGUACGUACUCCUGCACCCACACUCAGCACGUUGCCUGCUCACAGCGGAGCUACUCCGCGGCGCUGUGCGGGCUGGGCGCCGCCGCCAACGGCGCGCCGCUGUUCCCCGAGCACGACCUGCUCGUCAACGUGGACGCCGACCUGGACACCGAGGACGUCAGCAACGUACGUACUCCUGCACCCACACUCAGCACGUUGCCUGCUCACAGCGGAGCUACUCCGCGGCGCUGUGCGGGCUGGGCGCCGCCGCCAACGGCGCGCCGCUGUUCCCCGAGCACGACCUGCUCGUCAACGUGGACGCCGACCUGGACACCGAGGACGUCAGCAACGUACGUACUCCUGCACCCACACUCAGCACGUUGCCUGCUCACAGCGGAGCUACUCCGCGGCGCUGUGCGGGCUGGGCGCCGCCGCCAACGGCGCGCCGCUGUUCCCCGAGCACGACCUGCUCGUCAACGUGGACGCCGACCUGGACACCGAGGACGUCAGCAACGUACGUACUCCUGCACCCACACUCAGCACGUUGCCUGCUCACAGCGGAGCUACUCCGCGGCGCUGUGCGGGCUGGGCGCCGCCGCCAACGGCGCGCCGCUGUUCCCCGAGCACGACCUGCUCGUCAACGUGGACGCCGACCUGGACACCGAGGACGUCAGCAACGUACGUACUCCUGCACCCACACUCAGCACGUUGCCUGCUCACAGCGGAGCUACUCCGCGGCGCUGUGCGGGCUGGGCGCCGCCGCCAACGGCGCGCCGCUGUUCCCCGAGCACGACCUGCUCGUCAACGUGGACGCCGACCUGGACACCGAGGACGUCAGCAACGUACGUACUCCUGCACCCACACUCAGCACGUUGCCUGCUCACAGCGGAGCUACUCCGCGGCGCUGUGCGGGCUGGGCGCCGCCGCCAACGGCGCGCCGCUGUUCCCCGAGCACGACCUGCUCGUCAACGUGGACGCCGACCUGGACACCGAGGACGUCAGCAACGUACGUACUCCUGCACCCACACUCAGCACGUUGCCUGCUCACAGCGGAGCUACUCCGCGGCGCUGUGCGGGCUGGGCGCCGCCGCCAACGGCGCGCCGCUGUUCCCCGAGCACGACCUGCUCGUCAACGUGGACGCCGACCUGGACACCGAGGACGUCAGCAACGUACGUACUCCUGCACCCACACUCAGCACGUUGCCUGCUCACAGCGGAGCUACUCCGCGGCGCUGUGCGGGCUGGGCGCCGCCGCCAACGGCGCGCCGCUGUUCCCCGAGCACGACCUGCUCGUCAACGUGGACGCCGACCUGGACACCGAGGACGUCAGCAACAUCAACCACAUCCGUUACCUGAUGGACUACUCGAUCUACUGUCGCGAGGGGCAAGACACGCCCGCCAUCGAGGACGAGGCACGAGAGAAAGUGCCCUCUACUAUUAAAGAAAUUCUCUUCAAACUAAUGGAGAAGCGUCGUAAGCACCGCGAGCAAGAGGCAAUCCCCAACGCCUGGGAGUGGAACUCUGUGCCCGAAGACGAGCUGCUCGAGAUCGCCGCGCCGGAACUAACGGCUUGCGCGACCGCCUACCCGC